UCCCGGCUUUCCAUCAGCCGGGGUUACUGAAGAGGCACACCUUCAUUGCCGGAAGUGCGGUUGGGAUAUUCCCUCCAAUCCAUGGCAGACAAAGCCGAACUAGCGCUGCUUUCGUGGCACUGGUUCAUUAUCUGCGCAGCGCGCGUUUGCACGGUUC
rfam:Agrobacterium radiobacter K84 chromosome 1, complete sequence.